GAGGGAGCGAAAGUCACUGGGAGCAUGCGGGAGCGAGAACUAUCACAACAAAGUGACCGGGAGCGGACUCCCAUCAUGGUUUCUGCUCCCGCGCACUCCCGGUGACUUUAUUGUGAUAGUUCCCGCUCCCGCCCGCUGCCAGUGACUUUCGCUCCCGUUCCUUCCCAAUUCCGUGAUCAAUAGCAAAAUUCACUCCCACUCCCGGGACCUACGGGAUCCGGUGGGAAUCCCGCAAAAAAUGUCAGCAUGGAGUCCCCAGACACGUGGAAAAUGAUGCCCGUGAGCAAAAAAAAAAAAGACAGCUAAGUGCGAACCUCCAGAAAAAGUGGCAGCAGGAGGCCGACAAGCGACAAAGACCUAAGAGCGCAGGGGACGGCUCGUGGGGGACAUCAUUCUGCGCGACUCCGACACUUAACAGCAUCUACUGCUUCAUGAGAAAGAAGUGCCUCGGGCCAUCCGACCCAGAAGGCCUUUGGGCAGAAGGAAGGCGGGAGUGGAGCACAAGCGGAGGACAACCUCAAUGCAGCCCCACCGGCGGCUGGUUUUCACUGGGAAUUGUCCGGCCGAGCCUUCGACUGUCCUGCCAGCAGCUGCGACUCUCAGCUCUCUCCGACCUGCCGCCGUCGUAAUUCAACUGGAUGCAGCGCAAUCAUAACCACACAACACACGUGAUCACCUCGGGUUCACGAAGGGAAGAAAUAACCAACUGGGCGGUUCAGAUCCGCUAUCGGGUCCGCUGUCGGGUCAAGUUCACUUAGCGGGGACGAGAGGAACUGGAUUCUUACACCCGAGGCGUCGGAGAGGAAUUCCUAAUGUCAAAAAUGAAUAUGCAAAUUCCACCAAAUGUCACAACACAGGCGUUAGUCACGCUCUGAUCCGAGAGUACCACGACGACGGCCGAAGAGUGCGAGCGCUACCGCGAGCUAGCGCGAGAUGCCAGUCUGCCAGCCAAAAGCAAACACAUCCCAAACUAGCCGAAACAUUCAGUGGAAUGCAAACAUCAGGAGUCUCCUGCUCAUCGUGAAGCCUUCUGGCCUGUUUCCCAGCGGCCUUCCUGAUUUACUGCCGCGUACUACAGCAGAACGGCGGUGGGGGGGGGGGGCGCAUGACAGCCUAACUGAUUGCAAAGCCAUUACAGGUACUAACAUUGAGGAACACACCUGC